AGAGAUGUGUGAUGACGCAUAUCAAUAAGCGGAGGAAAAGAAACUAACAAGGAUUCCCUUAGUAACGGCGAGUGAAGCGGGGAAGAGCUCAAAUUUGAAAUCUUCAAGGUUCUACCUUGACGAAUUGUAGUUUAUAGAAGUGUUUUCUGUUAGUGGAGUGGCAAAAGUUCUUUGGAAUAGGACAUCAUAGGAGGGUGAGAAUCCCGUAUUUGGUCAUUCCUCCUAGCGUUGUGAUACACUUUCAACGAGUCGGAUUGUUUGGGAAUGCAGUCCAAAAUGGGUGGUAAAUUUCAUCUAAAGCUAAAUAUUGGCGAGAGACCGAUAGCGAACAAGUACCGUGAGGGAAAGAUGAAAAGAACUUUGAAAAGAGAGUUAAACAGUACGUGAAAUUGUCAAAAGGGAAGCGUUUGACACCAGUGUUGUUUUUCCGAAAAUCAAUUACGAAUGUUUUGUUUUUGAGGAGUUAUGACUUCAUCGGCUUGCUCCUUUCUUUAUGAAACUUUCUUAAUGCACUUUUCGGUUAACAAGUCAACAUCAAUUUCUUUUGCUGUAAAAGGGUAUGAGGAAGGUGGCUUUCUUUUCGGAGAAAGUGUUUAUAGCCUUGUGCCUCUGCAAUCGGGGAGAUUGAGGUCUGCAGCGUAGAUCCUUCGGGGUUAGAUACGUUUGUGCUAAGUUAUAGCUUUUCAUAGACAACUUGUUGACUAUGUUUAGUCUUGUAGCUUACUCGCUGACGCUAUUUUACCUACGCUUAGGAUGUUGACGCAUGAGAUAUACGC
rnacentral:rRNA from 1 species